rnacentral:rRNA from 1 species
AGAGGUUGAACGGCCACAUUGGGACUGAGACACGGCCCAGACUCCUACGGGAGGCAGCAGUGGGGAAUAUUGCACAAUGGGCGCAAGCCUGAUGCAGCAACGCCGCGUGAGGGAAGACGGUCCUCUGGAUUGUAAACCUCUGUCUUCGGGGACGAAACGAGACGGUACCCGAGGAGGAAGCCACGGCUAACUACGUGCCAGCAGCCGCGGUAAU